rnacentral:rRNA from 1 species
GAUGAACGCUGGCGGCGUGCCUAAUACAUGCAAGUCGAGCGAACGGACGAGAAGCUUGCUUCUCUGAUGUUAGCGGCGGACGGGUGAGUAACACGUGGAUAACCUACCUAUAAGACUGGGAUAACUUCGGGAAACCGGAGCUAAUACCGGAUAAUAUUUUGAACCGCAUGGUUCAAAAGUGAAAGACGGUCUUGCUGUCACCUAUAGAUGGAUCCGCGCUGCAUUAGCUAGUUGGUAAGGUAACGGCUUACCAAGGCAACGAUGCAUAGCCGACCUGAGAGGGUGAUCGGCCACACUGGAACUGAGACACGGUCCAGACUCCUACGGGAGGCAGCAGUAGGGAAUCUUCCGCAAUGGGCGAAAGCCUGACGGAGCAACGCCGCGUGAGUGAUGAAGGUCUUCGGAUCGUAAAACUCUGUUAUUAGGGAAGAACAUAUGUGUAAGUAACUGUACACAUCUUGACGGUACCUAAUCAGAAAGCCACGGCUAACUACGUG